rnacentral:rRNA from 1 species
AGUGAACGCUGGCGGCGUGCCUAAUACAUGCAAGUCGAACGGAGUGGGGACGGGUGAGUAACACAUGGGUAACCUCCCAUCAGAGGGGAUAACACUUGGAAACAGGUGCUAAACCGAUACUGAUGGAUGGUCCCGGGGUGCAUUAGCUAGUUGGUGGGGUAACGGCUCACCAAGGCCACGAUGCAUAGCCGACCUGAGAGGAGGAUCGGCCACACGGGAACUGAGACACGGCCCAGACUCCUACGGGAGGCAGCAGUAGGGAAUCUUCGGCAAUGGGCGAAAGUCUGAUCGAGCAACGCCGCGUGAGUGAAGAAGGUUUUCGGAUCGUAAAGCUCUGUUGUUAGAGAAGCGGUAUCUAACCAGAAAGCCACGGCUAACUACGUGCCAGCAGCCGCGGUAAUAC